UAGUAAUGAGAUGCUGCUGAAUUUCGGCCGUUCUUCUUCAAGUUCAAACUUUGCAUUGCUUUAGCUUUGCCUCCUCUAACUUCUUUCCCCUUUGGAAAGCCUGCUGAGCUAGAAUUCUAUCUCCACAUUCAUCCAAACACCACCAGACAUUAUCACAAACACCUUCCGUGCAUCAUCUUCCAUCAACCAGUUCAUCAUUCCGCUGCCACAUUUUGUCCAAGGAGCCACUCCAUUCUUGAAGAUUGGAGACACUUUGCUCCAACAUUCUUGAGAUCGAAGGGUGUGACCUCAUAAUAGUUGUUAGCCUCUUUUGUGAUAAAGGAGAUCUUCAUCUUAUCCCCCU
rnacentral:lncRNA from 1 species